rnacentral:miRNA from 1 species
AAACAGAGGAGAAAAACAAAAUUUUCUUCCCCUGUUCUCUGCGUG